GACGAACGCUGGCGGCGUGCUUAACACAUGCAAGUCGAACGAAGUGGCGAACGGGUGAGUAACGCGUAAUCAACCUGCCCUUCAGAGGGGGACAACAGUUGGAAACGACUGCUAAUACCGCAUACUGAAGGAGGGGAUUGCGUAUGAUUAGCUAGUUGGAGGGGUAACGGCCAACCAAGGCGAUGAUCAGUAGCCGGUCUGAGAGGAUGAACGGCCAAAUUGGGACUGGGGCACGACCCACACUCCUACGGGAGGCAGCAGGGGGGAAUCUUCCGCGAUGGACGAAAGUCUGACGGAGCAACGCCGGGGGAGUGAUGACGGCCGUCGGGUUGUAAAGCUCUGGUAAGCGGGACGCGGUACCGGAAUAGAAAGCCACGGCUAACUACGUGCCAGCAGCCGCGGUAAUUC
rnacentral:rRNA from 1 species